rnacentral:rRNA from 1 species
UGAGGAACAUGACCUUCGGCGGGGGAUAGCCGGCCCAACGGCCGGGUAAUACCGCGUACGACCACUCUGGGACAUCCCUAGGUGGUGAAAGCAGCAAUGCGCCGAUGGAGUGCCUCGCGGCCUAUCAGCUAGUUGGUGAGGUAACGGCUCACCAAGGCGACGACGGGUAGCUGGUCUGAGAGGAUGGCCAGCCACAUUGGGACUGAGACACGGCCCAGACUCCGUAGGACGG